AAGCAGUGACCAGCCCCAUGCUAUGCUGCUGAGACUUAAGGAUUGGGAAAGUCCGGUGUGAUUCCGGUACUGUGCCGCAACUGUAAUCAACUUUUAGGUAUCACAAUCGGCUAUCAAUGUGAUUGCUCUUGAUAGAGAUAUCUAGAAGCCCAUGGAGUCAGAAUGCCAGCCUUGAGGAGUGUCGAAAA
rnacentral:ncRNA from 2 species